rnacentral:rRNA from 1 species
AGGGAAUCUUCGGCAAUGGGCGAAAGCCUGACCGAGCAACGCCGCGUGAGCGAUGAAGGCCUUCGGGUCGUAAAGCUCUGUUGUUAAGGAAGAACAAGUACGAGAGUAACUGCUCGUACCUUGACGGUACUUAACGAGAAAGCCACGGCUAACUACGUGCCAGCAGCCGCGGUAAUACGUAGGUGGCGAGCGUUAUCCGGAAUUAUUGGGCGUAAAGCGCGCGCAGGCGGUUUCUUAAGUCUGAUGUGAAAGCCCACGGCUCAACCGUGGAGGGUCAUUGGAAACUGGGAAACUUGAGUGCAGAAGAGGAAAGCGGAAUUCCACGUGUAGCGGUGAAAUGCGUAGAGAUGUGGAGGAACACCAGUGGCGAAGGCGGCUUUCUGGUCUGUAACUGACGCUGAGGCGCGAAAGCGUGGGGAGCAAAC